rnacentral:rRNA from 1 species
UACGUAGGGGGCAAGCGUUGUCCGGAUUUAUUGGGCGUAAAAGGCUUGUAGGUGGCCACGCCAAGUCGGAUGUGAAAUCUCCCGGCUCAACUGGGAGGGGUCAUUCGAUACUGGCGGGCUCGAGGCCGGUAGGGGGAAGUGGAAUUCCCGGUGUAGUGGUGGAAUGCGUAGAUAUCGGGAGGAACACCAGUGGCGAAGGCGGCUUCCUGGACCGGUUCUGACACUGA